AGCGCCCCCUAUGUGAAUUAGAGAUAUGGCACAUCCUGAUCCAGCCAUGCCGCGUGCAGGAAGACUGCCCUAUGGGUUGUAAACUGCUUUUAUACAGGGAAGAAAAAGCCCGACGUGUCGGGUGUUGACGGUACUGUAAGAAUAAGGAUCGGCUAACUCCGUGCCAGCAGCCGCGGUAAUACGGAGGAUCCAAGCGUUAUCCUGAAUCAUUGGGUUUAAAGGGUCCGUAGGCGGGAUGAUAAGUCAGUGGUGAAAGUCUGCAGCUUAACUGUAGAAUUGCCAUUGAUACUGUUGUUCUUGAGUUAUUGUGAAGUGGUUAGAAUGAGUAGUGUAGCGGUGAAAUGCAUAGAUAUUACUCAGAAUACCGAUUGCGAAGGCAGAUCACUAACAAUACACUGACGCUGAUGGACGAAAGCGUAGGUAGCGAACAGGAUUAGAUACCCUGGUAGUCUACGCCGUAAACGAUGGUUACUAGCUGUUCGGGUUAAUUGAGACCUGAGGGCUAAGCGAAAGUCAUAAGAACCUCCUGGUUGGGAUUUAUAUUAUAUGUUAAGAUGGCUC
rnacentral:rRNA from 1 species